AAGGGGAUUCCAGUCUAACCUCGUCUGUCAGCCUAUCCAUGAGUACCGCAAACAGGAAGGGGCUCAGCGCGGAACCCUGAUGCAGUCCCACCUCCACCUUAAAUUCUUCUGACACACCAACGGAACAUCUCACCGCUGUUCUGCUGCCCUCAUCACAUCUCCUGCUUUCUCUAGGUCUACAAAGAUACAACUUACCUGUGGUCUUUUCUUUGGCGAACAUAUGAACUAGUAUACUCUCGUCGACAAGAAGGCCGGCUCGGCCAGGGUGGCUCAUUUUCGCCGCCGAGGUGGCUGAUCACGGCACUGAGCCGGGCCGCUUUACGGCGUUGUCGUAGCACGCGGCAGCCUUCGCCGGCGAGCCCAACGCCGAAGCCAUCCGAUGCCCACAUCGACACAUUCAGCCUCCCUGUCAUACUAGCUCUACACACACCUACCUGUCAUUUGGAACCCACGAAGAUCUCGUCCUUUGCACCCGUGCAAUCCAUUUUUCACGACGAACCUGGUCUCUUGCAAACUUCUGAAGGGUAAAUCCAUCCUCACGAGUGUUCGAGCAAUAUCCAGCAAUGCAACGAGCCGGCAUUUUAGCUAACACGAAGGAACAACGAGCUACCUUCCAGCAGGUAAAACUAAUAGAAACAAAGUCCACUUGAGGGUGGUCCUGCCAUGUACGUCGCUUCACCGUUUUUUUUCAUUAAUAACAUUUCACGACACUUGCCCUUUAAAUGCCUGGUCUAAUUACAGUCAUAUGAACAGCAGCUGCGUGACAGCUGCCAGAGGUGGCGCCGGCCACGGCAGCGAUUCGGCCCUGCCCCUCGCCGGAAGCACCGCCCACGGCAGCGGCCAGGAUAGAGUUUUGCUAGCGACGACUGCGAUGUAUAGCUAACGCUCACCGCGAGACGUUUUACUUUGAAGGCAUGGUAAAACCGCAAAAAUAUAACAGUCCACAAAAUAUACACACAAAGUCUCACACGCUCCGUCCGGAGUUGCCCGAAUACUCGCUCGCGCACUUCAAAGCCGUCGUUAGAUUAAAAGAGCGCCGGGGUUGCCGCGAUUUUCAACAGCGGCGCCACCCUCCCGCCGUCGCUGUUAGAAUAUGAAUGAGACGCAUACACUAGAUAUGGAUAUGCUGGCUAGUUUGUGUCCAAAAAUAUGAACGCUAAUCAGCGGGAGAUUAAUCAAGCUAAGUACGGACUUGAUUCCAAAGAGUUGUCCUUCUGUCCUUGG